GCCGAAGUGGCGGAAUGGCAGACGCGGCGGUCUCAAAAACCGUUGGGGGCAACCCCGUGCGGGUUCGACUCCCGCCUUCGGCACCA
rnacentral:tRNA from 1 species